CGUCUUUAUCCAAAAUCUCAUCAAAAACUCGAACUAAACCUCUGUAAUCAUCCAAAUCAACAUAACCCCUCAUCAAUGCUGACCCUACAAAGACAUUGAGACUUAUCCCGGAACAGAGCACGAGACCGUGAAGCUGAGGGAUCAAAUGCUUGUAAUGUAAAUGCAAGAAGGAGCUAAUUGACACUGCAAAAGUAAGCUCAUUG
rnacentral:misc_RNA from 1 species